GCGGGGGUACCCGAGUGGUCAAAGGGGCAGGGCUUAGGACCCUGUGACGUAGGUCUUCAAGGGUUCAAAUCCCUUCCCCCGCA
rnacentral:tRNA from 1 species